rnacentral:rRNA from 1 species
AGUGAACGCUGGCGGUAGGCCUAACACAUGCAAGUCGAACGGCAGCACAGGAGAGCUUGCUCUCUGGGUGGCGAGUGGCGGACGGGUGAGGAAUACAUCGGAAUCUACUCUGUCGUGGGGGAUAACGUAGGGAAACUUACGCUAAUACCGCAUACGACCUACGGGUGAAAGCAGGGGACCUUCGGGCCUUGCGCGAUUGAAUGAGCCGAUGUCGGAUUAGCUAGUUGGCGGGGUAAAGGCCCACCAAGGCGACGAUCCGUAGCUGGUCUGGGAGGAUGAUCAGCCACGCUGGAACUGAGACACGGUCCAGACUCCUACGGGAGGCAGCAGUGGGGAAUAUUGGACAGUGGGCGCAAGCCUGAUCCAGCCAUACCGCGUGGGUGAAGAAGGCCUUCGGGUUGUAAAGCCCUUUUGUUGGGAAAGAAAUCCAGCUGGCUAAUACCCGGUUGGGAUGACGGUACCCAAAGAAUAAGCACCGGCUAACUUCGUGCCAGCCGCCGCGGUAA